rnacentral:rRNA from 1 species
GAUGAACGCUAGCUACAGGCUUAACACAUGCAAGUCGAGGGGCAGCAUGGUCUUAGCUUGCUAAGGCCGAUGGCGACCGGCGCACGGGUGAGUAACACGUAUCCAACCUGCCGUCUACUCUUGGACAGCCUUCUGAAAGGAAGAUUAAUACAAGAUGGCAUCAUGAGUCCGCAUGUUCACAUGAUUAAAGGUAUUCCGGUAGACGAUGAGGAUGCGUUCCAUUAGAUAGUAGGCGGGGUAACGGCCCACCUAGUCUUCGAUGGAUAGGGGUUCUGAGAGGAAGGUCCCCCACAUUGGAACUGAGACACGGUCCAAACUCCUACGGGAGGCAGCAGUGAGGAAUAUUGGUCAAUGGGCGAGAGCCUGAACCAGCCAAGUAGCGUGAAGGAUGACUGCCCUAUGGGUUGUAAACUUCUUUUAUAAAGGAAUAAAGUCGGGUAUGGAUACCCGUUUGCAUGUACUUUAUGAAUAAGGAUCGGCUAACUCCGUGCCAGCAGCCGCGGUAAUACGGAGGAUCCGAGCGUUAUCCGGAUUUAUUGGGUUUAAAGGGAGCGUAGAUGGAUGUUUAAGUCAGUUGUGAAAGUUUGCGGCUCAACCGUAAAAUUGCAGUUGAUACUGGAUAUCUUGAGUGCAGUUGAGGCAGGCGGAAUUCGUGGUGUAGCGGUGAAAUGCUUAGAUAUCACGAAGAACUCCGAUUGCGAAGGCAGCCUGCUAAGCUGCAACUGACAUUGAGGCUCGAAAGUGUGGGUAUCAAACAGGAUUAGAUACCCUGGUAGUCCACACGGUAAACGAUGAAUACUCGCUGUUUGCGAUAUACAGCAAGCGGCCAAGCGAAAGCGUUAAGUAUUCCACCUGGGGAGUACGCCGGCAACGGUGAAACUCAAAGGAAUUGACGGGGGCCCGCACAAGCGGAGGAACAUGUGGUUUAAUUCGAUGAUACGCGAGGAACCUUACCCGGGCUUAAAUUGCAGAUGAAUUACGGUGAAAGCCGUAAGCCGCAAGGCAUCUGUGAAGGUGCUGCAUGGUUGUCGUCAGCUCGUGCCGUGAGGUGUCGGCUUAAGUGCCAUAACGAGCGCAACCCUUGUUGUCAGUUACUAACAGGUUCCGCUGAGGACUCUGACAAGACUGCCAUCGUAAGAUGUGAGGAAGGUGGGGAUGACGUCAAAUCAGCACGGCCCUUACGUCCGGGGCUACACACGUGUUACAAUGGGGGGUACAGAGGGCCGCUACCACGCGAGUGGAUGCCAAUCCCCAAAACCUCUCUCAGUUCGGACUGGAGUCUGCAACCCGACUCCACGAAGCUGGAUUCGCUAGUAAUCGCGCAUCAGCCACGGCGCGGUGAAUACGUUCCCGGGCCUUGUACACACCGCCCGUCAAGCCAUGGGAGCCGGGGGUACCUGAUGUGCGUAACCGCGAGGAGCGCCCUAGGGUAAAACUGGUGACUGGGGCUAAGUCAUAA